ACACACAGUACCCCCAGACACACACAGUACCCCCAGACACACACAGCACCCCCAGAAACACACAGCACCCCCAGAAACACAGCACCCCAGACAUACACACAGUAACUCCCCAGACACACACAGUACCCCCAGACACACACACAGUACCCCCAGACACACACACAGCACCCCCAGACACACACAGCACCCCCAGACACACACAGCGCACUCAGGCACACAGCACCCUCACUCACAC